rnacentral:rRNA from 1 species
GAUGAACGCUAGCGGCAGGCCUAACACAUGCAAGUCGAGGGAGAAGCCCUUUCGGGGGCAGAAACCGGCGCACGGGUGCGUAACGCGUAUGCAACCUACCUUUCACAGGGGGAUAGCCCGAAGAAAUUUGGAUUAAUACCCCAUAAUAUUAUUGGAUGGCAUCAUUUGAUAAUUAAAACUGCGGUGGUGAAAGAUGGGCAUGCGUCCUAUUAGCUAGUUGGAGUGGUAACGGCACCCCAAGGCUACGAUAGGUAGGGGUCCUGAGAGGGAGAUCCCCCACACUGGUACUGAGACAGGGACCAGACUCCUACGGGAGGCAGCAGUGAGGAAUAUUGGUCAAUGGUCGGAAGACUGAACCAGCCAUGCCGCGUGCAGGAAGAAUGCCCUAUGGGUUGUAAACUGCUUUUAUAUGGGAAGAAUAAGGCGUACGUGUACGUUGAUGACGGUACCAGAUGAAUAAGCAUCGGCUAACUCCGUG